rnacentral:rRNA from 1 species
AACGAACGCUGGCGGCAUGCCUAACACAUGCAAGUCGAACAAAGUCCUUCGGGGCUUAGUGGCGCACGGGUGCGUAACGCGUGGGAAUCUGCCCCUUGCUUCGGAAUAACAGUUAGAAAUGACUACUAAUACCGGAUGAUGUCGCAAGACCAAAGAUUUAUCGGCAAGGGAUGAGCCCGCGUAGGAUUCGGUAGUUGGUGGGGUAAAGGCCUACCAAGCCGACGAUCCUUAGCUGGUCUGAGAGGAUGAUCAGCCACACUGGGACUGAGACACAGCCCAGACUCCUACGGGAGGCAGCAGUGGGGAAUAUUGGACAAUGGGGGAAACCCUGAUCCAGCAAUGCCGCGUGAGUGAUGAAGACCUUAGGGUUGUAAAGCUCUUUUACCCGGGAUGAUAAUGACAGUACCGGGAGAAUAAGCUCCGGCUAACUCCGUGCCAGCCGCCGCGGUAAUAC